UACAGAGGGUGCAAGCGUUAAUCGGAUUUACUGGGCGUAAAGCGUGAGUAGGUGGCUCGCCAAGUCGAUUGUGAAAGCCCUGGGCUCAACCUGGGAAUUGCAGUCGAUACUGGUGAACUAGAGUUCGGUAGAGGGUGACGGAAUUCCAGGUGUAGCGGUGAAAUGCGUAGAUAUCUGGAGGAAUACCGGUGGCGAAGGCGGCAUCCUGGACCGGCAUUGACGCUGAACAGCGAAAGCUAGGGGAGCAAACGGG
rnacentral:rRNA from 1 species